CACUAGGAUGCAGACUGCUACAGCCAUACAUCUCACCAGCUCAUCAUGUCCCUGAGGCUGUAAACACACAUCUCAUCUGAGGUGGUGCAAGUCAAAAUUUGGGAUGAAAGAAGAGUGAUACAGCCCUUUACACACCUAGCCCUUCCAAGAUGCAUUGCUGCAUAGUGGCCAUGGAGACCACACAUCCUAGUAGGCUUGUCUCUGGAAUGACUAGAAAUUAUCUUGAAUGAGCUGCUAUUAAUGAAAUGUCACCAGGGCUUAAACAACUUCCACCUCCUUGAUCAAACUAACUCUGGAAUCCACCCAGCAAAUUCAUUUCUUAAACACUACAGUGGUUUGCAAAGGCCACAUUACCACCACAUUGCAUCAGAAACAAACUAAUCACCAUAGCUACCUUCAUGUCCCCAGCUAGUCAUACCUUUAGAUCCAUCAUCUACGGCCAAACUCUACAUUACAACCAUAUCUGCUCUGAACCCACCUACUGGAAUAUGCAUCUUGAGGAUCUGCAAUUGUAACCUACAACUGUAAUCUACAAUUCCAAUAUAGUCCCAAGACUGUAGCCACUCACAUCAACAAAGCCAGGCUCAGACCUUGCUCUGACCUACUACAAUACAAAUCCCAUGACAAGGACAACAGAGUCCCUCUGAUUGUCACCUAAACCUCCUGGCUUGAACACCUGAGACAUAUCAUUAAUGACUGUUUUGAGUCAUUAAUGGCCCAAGGAAUAGUUGGCAGUCAUGGGGAACAAGCCUGUCUUCGCUUACAAACAGCACCCCCAACCCCAAAGAGUGUACCAGAGCCAAGGAGUCAGCACUAAAAGUGGUGAAGAAGCCACAACUUACCAUGGUAGUCCAGGGGAUGACAAGCCAUGCUACACCAGAGCAGUGGCAGUUUCAAAACCGGCCAUCUGUUUGGAUUGGAGGGAGGAGCUCCAGACCGGAUACUUCAGGCCCUGGAGAAGAGCAGCGAGGGGAGGACACUGGCAGGCAGAGCACAGAAAACAUUUCCGGGUUCUGCAGAAGCUAGACGUGUGAGUUCUCCAGCGGGCAAGAGAGGAAGAGCCCACAAAUCAAAGGUGGUUGGAGGGCCACCAUUCAGCAGCGAAGAGCCAUCCAAUGUCAGACCUGAAGGCUUCUCUGGCAGCCUGGGGAAGUUGGGCUGGAUCACCUGGGACCUGAGCAGACCUGGCCAGGUCUGAGAGGAGCCAGGCAUGGGUGUGGGAAUGUGGUUGCCUCAAGCUUGUCUCUCCGUUAUGAUGGUCACCUGGACCCUAACAGUCCCCCUGUCAGAGCAUCUUGAAGGAAAGAAUAACUAAGGAAGAACACAGGGCACAGAAAAAUGAUGGUGUAUAAAAGCACGAGACACAGCAGAAGGCACAAACCCUAGGAGAACAGAAGUGUGCAGCAGAAGUGAUCCAGAACACCAAAGUAAGAUGGUCAGAGUAGACCCGAGCCAUUCUUGCAAAUCUCUACCGCAUCUUAACCCCAGCCACCUAAAGAAUAACAGGUAAUGGGGAAGAAUUACACUCUGCACUCCACUGAACCCAAGGAUUUCUAUUGUGCCUGGGCCUUAGACUGCUCCUGGAGGCCACCUCACCAUCACAUUUCUAGGUAUUCUAGGUAUCUGUUUGCCCAUGUAUAUAUACAUAUGUGUGGUGGCGGAGCCUGAUCGGCCAUGGCAACAGUUGGGCUGAAGCUCUCCAAUGGCGACCCAGAAGCAUACCAAACACAUCUGGGGACACCGACCCCAGGACGAGCCCGGCUACGAGGAACUUCCUGGGCCCGGUGGGAGGAGCAGAACUUGGUGGUAGAGUUCAAAACCCGCAUGGACACGGUGGAGAGGGGGACUGGAAGUGGAUGCAGUGGCUCCGCAGCAGCCACACACUGGAGGGCAGGCCCCAGCAGGGGUGAAUGGUGGGAACCGCCUUUGCUGGAGACCCAAGACUGGGCCUUGGCAACGACGAGAUAGGCUAAGAUGACCUACAAGCAACACAGUGUAGCCAUGAGUACUGGGACUGAACACUGGGGAAAGAAAGCUGAAUUCCCCUAGCCUCAGUAUGUGAACAGUGGUAUGAGAAGGACUUUUAAGCUCCCAAGUGGGAGGGGAAAUGUACAGGCACGGAGGAUUGCAUAUACCUUCACAACAGUGCCAAGAAGAGACCAUUGCAAAUUCUGAUUGAAUAUUAUUUUCCUGUGUUGUCAUCUGGGAGGUGCUACGUGGAGUGUAAGGUAGGCAGAGCCCUGAAAUGCAGGACCUCAGGUGUCUGUGUGGGGGAUAAAAAUCAGCCUCUCUAUUUUUCAUGCAACAUGAAAGUCAUGGCAGGCGAGAACUAAUGGCACCCACAUAGAUGCCCUAGCUGGCAAGCUGACUAUGCAUUAGAGAACGAAUAUCCGCUCUCCAGGCCAGGGGUCCCGCCGAUCAUUGAAGGACAUGCAUGGGAGAUUACAAUUAGCAAACCACUAGUUCUUCCUUUCAUGUCCUUGUCAUAAACUGGAUGUUUUUCCAGAAUUGUGCACAAACAAUAGCUCUUUCCGUUGCUGCAGUGAGGUCCUCCUUCAUAUAGUCUCACCAAGGAGUCAGAAAAUAAGCAGGUGCUCCAUAGUCUGCACUUUACCUCUGUCCCAGGGGUGCCGGGGUUACAGGAGAACCCCAACCCAAAAUAGAAGAAAGCCCCAACUUACCAUCUGCAGGGGCUGAAAGGAGUGAGAAGGUGUACGCAGAGAAAUCACCUACAGGGCUCAUCAGCCGCGUUCAUAUUCAGCUGGGGCCAGGUGACUUCAGCUGGAGACGCCACCCGGCGGAAACAAAAGGCUGUCCUGAGGGCACAGGAGACAGGCCAGUGAGCAAAGGCUUCACGGGGAAGCCCACACCCCGAACGGCGCAGCCGCUGCUUUGGGCAGCCUGGGACAACGGGGGCAGAGCCGGCGGAGGCACCGGCAGUGGAGCCGGCAGAGAAGCCAGCAGCAGAGCCGGUGAAGGCGCUGGCAGAGAAGCCGGCAGUGGCGCUGGCAGAGAAGCUGGCAGUGGCGCUGGCAGAGAAGCCGGCAGCGGAGCCAGCGGAGGCACCGGCAGCGAAGCCAGUGGAGGCAUCGGCAGUGGAGCCGGCAGAGAAGCCGACAGAGGCACCGGCAGAGAAGCCGGCAGCGGAGCCAGCGUAGGCACCAGCAGAGGAGCCGGCAGUGGAGCCGGCGGAGGCAUCAGCAGGGACGCUGACUGGCAAGCCAGAAGGGACGCUGCCAGAAGAGCUGGCAGGAAAGCUGACAAAGGGAGCAGCGGUGAGUGGGAAGAGCAGAGGAGGAGAUGAGUGCCAAGGAAGCCGGGGGCAACUACAGGGAAGCCCGGAGAGGAGGUAAUGAGGGCGGGGAACCCCAACAGGGAUAGCCACAGGGUAUGGCAGAAGACCCCAAGCAGGGACAGUUAACUAAGUAAGGGAGCCAGCAGACGGGCCCACAGCUUCCCCAAGAAGAGUCGACCGGGACACCAUCCCCGGAAUAGGGUCAAGCCUAGGGGAGAGAUAGAAGCCCCGAGUGGGGCAAGCAACUGGGGCUGGGGCACCGAGGCACUGGGAAAACACAGGGCCCAUAGGUUAAGGGUCACUCUUUAUUCCUUUGUGGCCUCCUGGUCCGCCGGUCACAUCUCUCCGGCAAUCACAAUGGUGGGAAUCGCAUGUUACAUCAUGGGGUGGUUGGAAUAGGGCGCUAGGGAUACGGGAUAGUCGGAUCUAGGACCAAGGGCCUUGAAGCCUUCACGCCUGAGCCGCGGCCCUGGGACACUGGGGCUCAUGGCUGGAGGGCCACGGGAGGCCGGGGAAGAAACCAAAGGGCCAGAAGACCCGCGACCAAAGGUGGCGAGUGGCCAGGGUGUAGGGGAGGUUGGAGCCCCGUGAGCGCCCGCCAAGAGGUGUGACAACCCUGGAGGCUGCCUCAAAGGGGAACCCCUCCACUGAGGUUCCAUUCAAAGUUGUGGCAGGCGAGUUAAGGGGAUCCCCGGACGUCAGCCGGGGUAGCCUUUAGGGUCCGCUCGCAGGCCCAGGACAGGCAAGAUCGAUAGUCUGGGCUAAGGCUGCACAAGAACGCCUGAUAGAGCAGAGGUGGGCACAACCUCAUUCAGGUACAUUCAUGUAAUUACAGUAGACCCUGAUCAGUAGUAGAUCGUGUGUGUUUUUGGUCUUCCAGUUUGUGUGCACAGGCUAGGUUGGCGAAGCUAGAUCAGCCCUCUGAGAAAGUCUUCCUGGGGUUCAUGGUCCAUUUUAGAUCACCUGAUUGCACAUUUUUCCUUCCAUAACCUAGUCAUGCCCUGUCAGACAUUGUGUCCAACAACACACCACUGGUCACUAAAACUCUUUCAUGCUUUAAGCCAUUGAAUUACUUCUGUGUGACCACAGAGUGCAUGCAAACCACUUAAACCAUUAACAAUUUAAGGUGACAUUUUCGGAAGUGCCUAAGUGACUCAGGGUACAUCCUAUUGAACACCAUUAAAAUAUAAUACCAAUCAUUUCUAAAUGAGUUUAAAAUAAUCUUUUAAAUCGGGUGUAAUAAAGUAACAGAAAUCACCCUUACUAAGUGAUAUUACACUUCUUGUCAUUAAAUAUUCUGUUUUUACCAGCAUUUUCUAGUUUUAAUCUCAUUUUCCACAGUACAAGCUGAUUUCAGAAGGAAGAACUAUUUCCAUAAGCCCAGAAUUGAUAUGUUAAGUGCCAUCAUGGUAAAAUGCCAUUCCCCUGACUAUAAGAAUGCUUCCACUAUUGCUACCAUGAAAGGAGUUAUACUUGUCACAGGACAAUGAUGGGAGAUUUCUUGAAAAAGUCCAGUUAGGUAAGGCCUUUAGUGACUGAUUUAAUGGAGCUCUGGCCUGAUCUUUUAUAGCAAAUCCAAUACUCUAAGUUUUGAUUUUAAGGUUAUUUAGAAUUUUAGCUUAAAAUUUACUUCUCAGCAUCAAGAAACUGGACAGAGGUGCUUUUAUCUCCUUUCAACAACAGAUGGUUUGGCUCUCUCUGUUUAAAUAACAAAAGCAAAGUUGUGUUUUAGUCUUGGAAGACCAAGACAAGUGCAAUUUCUUCAAAUUUAUAAUGGGACAUUUGAAUAAUAAAGAGUCAUUACAUUAAAGAAAGGCUGUGAAUGAUUGUAAAGCAAUGCCAAAUAUGAUUUUACUUUUGUAGCAUGUACAUGAUGAGGUGCACUUUGUGAUGUAGAGCAUCCUAACAUCCUGGAAUGCAGGUCAUGAUAAAAAAAACAUGUCACAUUACAAAUGUCAAGGUGACUGCUUGAAUAGCAGGGUCUCUUGUGCCACUAGUGUUCUGAGACAUUCAGAUACUAUGUUAAUGAAUGCCACAGAAACGCUUAUGAAUAAGUAUUUCUCAUAAGAGAAAUGAGAUCUUUUCUGUACCUUCAGUAUCCUCAAAAUCUUUUUCUGAGCCCUGCCCCUGCCUUGGUCCAUCACGUACAUGGAUUUAACUAAGUUUUUCAAUUCAAAAUUGACACCAUCAGGUGGGGAAGGUGUUCUUUCUACCCUUCAUUUUCCCUCCAUUCAUUUUUAUGACUCAUUUUCUACUCUUGCCUUUGACCCUUUGGCCUGUCCCCUUGAGCUAAUUCCUUCUUACCUUUUCCUCACCUCUCUUCUAUUUUAUCUUUCUCACUUCUGUCUUGCUUUCUUAAGCUUCAAAACAUACUUUCCUCAUAUCCUGAAGAACAUUUCCUCUUCAAUUACCAUUCUAUACCAUUUCUACCUCCUGCUUCCAAAAUCCUGGAGUGAAGGAUUUGCUCUUACUGCCUGGAUUUCCUUUCUUCCUAAUCUCCUUCUGAUCCCCUCCAAACUGGCUUCUACCCUCUCCAAUCCAGCAUGGACACUAAUGACCUCCUUCAAGCUAAAUGUAAAGAGUACUUCCAGCCUCAGUAGUCUUAAUUGGUUUGCUGCUCUUAAUACUGUUGAUUACUCUCUCUCCUCCUCCUCAGUUCUCUUUCUUGGCUUCUGAAACAUUGUUCCAUCUUAGUGCUCCUACUUUACUGACCACUUUUAAAAAAAAGUCUCCUCUAAUAAACUUCUUCUCCUCUUUUCCUGCCUACUGCUGUUUUUCAAAGAUCCGUUACUGAUCCCCUCUUGAGAUCAGUUUAUCCCCCUAGCUUCAACCAUUAGAAUCUCCAUACCAGUCUAGAGUUGCUACCUCCUCGGUUGGUGUCACAUUUCUAAUGGAUUGUCUCUCUGACACAUCUUGGAUUUCCAGCUGCCAUAUCAAAAUUGUUCUCUCCAAAUGUGAAUUUCUCACCUUUUCACUCUAAUUCCUUUCCAUACUCUGUUCUAUUGAUGGUAUCCUUAUCUGUCCUUUUUCCGGGCCUAUUAACUUGAUGUUAUUUUUAAUUCCUACCUUACCUUUUCUUAACAUCUCUCUCCAUCCAGUCUCUUGGUAAAUUUUGUUACUUGUCUUUUUCGGCAAAAUCAGCCCUUCCUUCAUUUUCCAUUCUUUAACUACACAUUGGCCAUUGUUCACCUCUUCUUUUAUGGGUCCUUUGACUUUUCCUUUCUCCACCUUAUCCAUAAUGCCAAUGCUAAAAUUUUCUCUUUAUCCAAACACUGUAGCAGUACACAAAAUUUGGUUUCUUGUUUCUGACCAGAUCAGAUUUAAGUAUCAUCUCUUUAUCAUCUACUGGGUCCUACUUAAUCUCAGGUCAUCUACAUUUCUAAUUCUCAUUUGUUUCUUCUCCCAUUCUCUAUAGUAUAUUCAUCGUAUAAUAUUAGUUCUAUACUCCUGUGUGUUUAUGCAUGUGUAUACACAAGAGAUUUCCCAACCUGGUAAAAAAAAAUCUAAUGCAUUCAUAAUAAAUUCAUAGAAAUUUAAGAAAAUGUUUACUCAAAAAAGUAUGUUGACUUGAUUUUGAAGGCAAGGUGCCUGUGGCUAUUAUCAGCUACAUAAAUUAUUUCUCCUCAUGGGCUGUUUAUGUCCUUCAGUUACUUUCACACUAAAUGGGGUUUGGAGGUAACCCUCCAAAAUAUUAGCUGAAAGCUUCCUCAGAAAGCAAAUCUUUCCCACAUCCUUCCCUGCAGUUCCUCUUUAAGAGGUGUCAGCAUGGCUGAAAGAAUGAAGUGGCUCCACAUUGUUUGCCUGAACUAUUAUGUGCUUAACAUUUCCAUAACAAAAGUGCCACUCGACUUCUCCCCGAUUAAUGCAGCUCGAGGGCUCUUGUCCUCCUUUAAUAAAACAUUGUUGAAAUCAUUUAUUUAGAGCCCCUGGUUACUAGUGGGAGAAUGACCAUCUUUGUGCCAAAAUAUAGUGUAUACAGUCCACUAUUUUGUAGUAGAUCAUUCUGUUAUUUAAGAAAUUGAUUAAAUGGAUGUCUUAGAAAGUAUUUAUGCUAAUAGCGCAUUACUUAUGUCAUUCAGACAGUCAAUGUGAGCCUUUUCAACUGUCUCCCAGAGCCAAUGCCUCAAGUAAAAUACAGUAACUUUCGACUUUGCUGCUUACAAAUCUGUAUGACAGACUUGAAAUCUCACACCAGAGAGCUGAUCUUUCCAUUUAGAAAUGUGUUGUAUUGCAAGUCUACCUUCUGUACUUGUAAAUUUACAUGUGUAUACUACAACUGGCAGCAUGGCAUUCUGAGAUAUUAUUAUUGUCCGCAGAACCAAAAUAAAUUGUGUGGCCUCAAUAUCUUAACAAUAUUGAGGCAACACCUACUCUUAGAUCAAGGUGAGCAUGUUUUCCAUCCUUCAAUAUGACUGUGUGGUAGUAUGCUCCAGUCCUUUUUUAUAUGCACAUCUUGACUUCUUUGCAAUUUUCCCUCCCAUCCACAGAGUACUGAAAAAAUGAGGCAAAGAGUCCUUUAAUACUGAAUUAUCUUGCUUGACAUGGAGACAGAAUAGUUCUUGCUCGACACAUACACAAUGAUUUGCAUACACAUGUACCCAAAUGCAUAGUACAUAUUGAUUAUACAUAGGCAUUGUCACUGAAGGAUGUAAUGAUUCUGUAGUUCUUACUGUGAGCACAGGGGAGUUUAUAGCUAAAAAGCCUGUGUGUUUUCCAACAUGGUUGCAAAAGGCUGGCCAAGCCCAGAUCAUUUUUCUUAUUAUAGGCUAAGUUUCAUAAUUAUUUUCAAAGUUAUGUAUGUCUGCCUGUAUCCACUGGUAUAUAUUGUUAAAAAUAAA